rnacentral:rRNA from 1 species
CGCUAGCGGCAGGCUUAAUACAUGCAAGUCGAGGGGCAGCAGGUCCGUAGCAAUACGGAUGCUGGCGACCGGCAAACGGGUGCGGAACACGUACACAACCUUCCUUUAAGUGGGGAAUAGCCCGGGGAAACCCGGAUUAAUACCCCGUAAUAUAAUGAGGUGGCAUCACUUUAUUAUUAUAGCUCCGGCGCUUGAAGAUGGGUGUGCGACUGAUUAGGCAGUUGGCGGGGUAACGGCCCACCAAACCUACGAUCAGUAACUGGUGUGAGAGCACGACCAGUCACACGGGCACUGAGACACGGGCCCGACUCCUACGGGAGGCAGCAGUAAGGAAUAUUGGUCAAUGGACGCAAGUCUGAACCAGCCAUGCCGCGUGGAGGAUGAAGGUCCUCUGGAUUGUAAACUUCUUUUAUCUGGGAAGAAACCCACGAAUUCUUUUGUGGUUGACGGUACCAGAUGAAUAAGCACCGGCUAACUCCGUGCCAGCAGCCGCGGUAAUACGGAGGGUGCAAGCGUUAUCCGGAUUCACUGGGUUUAAAGGGUGCGUAGGUGGGUUGGUAAGUCAGUGGUGAAAUCUCCAGGCUUAACUUGGAAACUGCCAUUGAUACUAUCAAUCUUGAAUG